rnacentral:lncRNA from 15 species
CUUCAUUUAUUUCCUGUCUCUGUGUUCUAAAGGUUCCCUUGUUUAAAAUCUCAAAUCUCAUCCCUCAACAGGCUGUUUCCUGGCAAACCUCUCGUGUUAAUUACAUACCUCGGCUGUAUAUAUGUGUUGUGCUUUGAAUACAAAUACAUUAUUUGGAUGAAUUUGUGAUUUUUUUCUCACCUGUUCUUCUCACAGACCAUUCCCAUUCCAAGAUGGUUAGCAGUGUGCUAGGUAACUUUUAAUGAUCUGUAUUGUGUUCACUGGUGGAGAAUGAUACUAACCACAGUCUACCUCGCUGCUUCUUUUUUGGUGUAGCUGUUUUGGCUUUGUUUUGGUGUGCCCUGUUUUCCUAGUUUUGUGGUGGCUUUGGUUGGUUUAAGGUUAGCAGCUUCUACUGAUUGUGUUUUCUUUCCAUGUGGUACCUGUUUGCUACCCCUUUUACAGUAACAAGGCUUCAUUCAGCCAGCCUCAGCUCCAUCCACGCUCCAUUUGUUCAAGGAGAUAUUGGCACAUCAGCUCCAAAUGAUUGUACAAUCUAGAGCUGGGUGUUCUCUGGAGCUCUCCGGCUCGUGUUGAUGCAGGUGUUCGGGGUCCUUAUGAUUCAGUAACUUUGAUUUAUCUUCCUGCUCUCUAACUGUCUUGUCUCUAUGCCCCACAGAGCACUGAGAGGAGUCCAAUGUCUCUGCAGAAAUCCUGUUUGAGUCAGUUUGUGAUUGGUAUUUCAGUUUGAAAUGAAUCAGUGAAUUAUUAUUAUUAUUUACACAUUGUAAAAACAGAUAAGUUAAUUUAAGUGCAAAAAAUGUUGAAACUGAUCAAAAUGUUUAGGUUAAACUAACUUAAUUUAAGUCAAAAAUAAUAUUCUUGAUCAAGUAGCUUUAUUAAUUUUAAGUGAUUUAAUUUUGUAUUUUUUAUAUGUACUGUAAAAACAAAAUACCUAGUAAAAAGUUAUUAAUCAGGAAGGUUUUUUUUUUCACUCAGCAGGGUAACUCAAUUCCAAGUCACA